rnacentral:rRNA from 1 species
CAGCCGCCGCGGGAACACAGAGGGUGCGAGCGUUAAUCGGAUUUACUGGGCGUAAAGCGUGCGUAGGCGGCUUCUUAAGUCGGAUGUGAAAUCCCUGAGCUUAACUUAGGAAUUGCAUUCGAUACUGGGAAGCUAGAGUAUGGGAGAGGAUGGUAGAAUUCCAGGUGUAGCGGUGAAAUGCGUAGAGAUCUGGAGGAAUACCGAUGGCGAAGGCAGCCAUCUGGCCUAAUACUGACGCUGAGGUACGAAAGCAUGGGGAGCAAACAGGAUUAGAGACCCCAGUAGUCCCUGUCUCUUAUAC